rnacentral:rRNA from 1 species
AUGGCCGUCGGAAGUACACUCCCAACCCCUGUGACAUACCACUUGUUGCCUCGGCGGAUCAGCCCGCUCCCGGUAAAACGGGACGGCCCGCCAGAGGACCCCUAAACUCUGUUUCUAUAUGUAACUUCUGAGUAAAACCAUAAAUAAAUCAAAACUUUCAACAACGGAUCUCUUGGUUCUGGCAUCGAUGAAGAACGCAGCAAAAUGCGAUAAGUAAUGUGAAUUGCAGAAUUCAGUGAAUCAUCGAAUCUUUGAACGCACAUUGCGCCCGCCAGUAUUCUGGCGGGCAUGCCUGUUCGAGCGUCAUUUCAACCCUCAAGCACAGCUUGGUGUUGGGACUCGCGUUAAUUCGCGUUCCUCAAAUUGAUUGGCGGUCACGUCGAGCUUCCAUAGCGUAGUAGUAAAACCCUCGUUACUGGUAAUCGUCGCGGCCACGCCGUUAAACCCCAACUUCUGAAUGUUGACCUCGGAUCAGGUAGGAAUACCCGCUGAACUUAAGCAUAUCAAAAGCGGAGGA